CUACGUGCCAGCAGCCGCGGUAAUACGGAAGGUCCGGGCGUUAUCCGGAUUUAUUGGGUUUAAAGGGAGCGUAGGCUGGAGAUUAAGUGUGUUGUGAAAUGUAGACGCUCAACGUCUGACUUGCAGCGCAUACUGGUUUCCUUGAGUACGCACAACGUUGGCGGAAUUCGUCGUGUAGCGGUGAAAUGCUUAGAUAUGACGAAGAACUCCGAUUGCGAAGGCAGCUGACGGGAGCGCAACUGACGCUGAAGCUCGAAGGUGCGGGUAUCGAACAGGAUUAGAUACCCUGGUAGUCCGCACAGUAAACGAUGGAUGCCCGCUGUUGGUACCUGGUAUCAGCGGCUAAGCGAAAGCAUUAAGCAUCCCGCCUGGGGAGUACGGCCGCAAGGCUAAAACUCAAAGAAAUUGACGGGGGCCCGCACAAGCGGCGGAGCAUGUGGAUUAAUUCGAUGCAACGCGAAGAACCUUACCAAGACUUGACAUGUUAACGAUUGCCUCAGAGAU
rnacentral:rRNA from 1 species